UACGGAGGGUGCAAGCGUUAUCCGGAUUUACUGGGUUUAAAGGGUGUGUAGGCGGGCUUUUAAGUCAGUGGUGAAAUCUCCGGGCUCAACCUGGAAACUGCCAUUGAUACUAUUAGUCUUGAAUUUUGUUGAGGUAGGCGGAAUAAGUCAUGUAGCGGUGAAAUGCAUAGAUAUGACUUAGAACACCAAUUGCGAAGGCAGCUUGCUAAACAAAUAUUGACGCUGAGGCACGAAAGCGGGGGGAUCAAACAGG
rnacentral:rRNA from 1 species